UCGUCUCGCGGUGAAUUAUACAUU
rnacentral:siRNA from 1 species